UUCAUUUUUAUUUUUAUUUAUUGUAAAUCAGAGAAUAAGUGUUAAUGUAUGGAUUUUACCUUCCCUCAUAGCUUUUUAUUAAGAUAUUGAGUUCUUGCUAUUUGUUAUAUAAUUCUUUUUAAAAGCACUUAAUAGACAAUUCUUUCUCUGUAAUAUUCUUAUUUCAACAUAGUAUUAUUUUUCGAGCUGUACUUUUUUCACCUUAUUUCUUAUAUUACUUUUUGAAUAUAUAACUCAUUAAAAAUUUUUUAGUAUUUUGCCUAAUUGUAUUCCAUUUAAUAUUAUAAUGUUCAAAGUUCUUGGCCAUGGUAUUCAAUGUAUGAGAACUAUUGACUGCAACAGAGAAGAACACAUAAUAAAUUCAUUAGAUUUCUACUUUUUUUUUUUUACUAUAAAAGCUAUGCGAUUUUUACUAUUUUAUUUCCGAAUAUGGUAUCCUUAUUGAUUGUUACUAGUUUUCUUGAGGAAAUAUUACAUUUGAAUUUCCACAUAUUUUCACAAGGAAUAGAGGCUUAAUUGAAGCUGUAAUGUAGUCAAGUAGAGAUUCCAGCUUGUUGUGUUACUGCCUUUCUAUGUGUAUCUGGAGUCAGAGUCUAGCCCUGCUGUUGCCUGAACAGUGCUUUUGUUCAUAUUAGGAGAAAGCCUCCUUUUCCUCAAGUACACGUACGGCUCCCUGACAAUGAUAGUAAUGUUGCAGAAUUCCUGCCCCUUAGUUCAGCUAAAUCUGGGUUCCUGUGUCACGACCAGAAAAAUUGGGCACGCAGACACAUUGAAGGGUAUGGGGAACGGAAUUUAUUGGGUGAAAGGAAAAAAGGAAAAAUAAUUCUCAGCAAAGAGAGAGAGAGUCCUGCUAGGAGGUUUCCCGCCUCACCGAUUGAAUUGCAGGUCACCACCCUGGAACUGAAGAGGCCAGGCUCCUCCCCGCUGCAAAAGGCGCGAACUUCCCGAAGCUCCACCCCGUCUUCCCAGCGAACAGGUGGGCACUGUUCAGAGAGAAUCGGUCAGGAAAGGGGGCGGGCUUCAUCCAGGACCAGCAGUCCAGUUUUUCAGCCUUCAGGCUGUUUUAGGCUUGAAAGCGGAAUUUCGCCACGGACCUUUGACUGUCUCCUGUCUCUAUCAGUAAUAAAUACACAAGUCCAGGAGAACUGUGAAUAUGAACGGCAUCCCCUUAGAGCUGUACAUAACCAACCACCUGCCCUGGUCCUAAGAAAGACCAUAACAUACUCCACUUUAUUUCACUAACUUCUUCUGACAUUACUCAGCCAGCACGGAAACAAGCUUAAGUAAUCAGACAUAAUUAUUUUAAUUAUUUGCAACUGAGCCCCAGGUAUACUAAGAUAACAUUAAAAAAAAUUGAUCUUUUAGUUUCCAUGGCACCUUAGGUAUUAAUGAAUGUCAGUGAACCUUACUAUUUAUCAGAAUUCAAUUUAACCCCCAAUUUUUCUUCCUGUUUUGAUGAUUACAUGCAGCAUUCCAACACUUUAGAAUAUGAGAUGAAAUGACAUUUUAACUGCUAAAUUAUAGUUACUUAAAUCACAAAUUGUAUUAUACUUCUUGAAUAAAUCACCAUCCUUAUGAUGUAAUAGUAUGAAGAUCAUAUUUUAAUUGUAAUAGCUACAUUUUCUAUGUAUAAUUUGCUUGAUUAGCACUGAAAAGGGUAAGACAAAAUAGACAAGGCUACUAUUAAAAGUUCUUACAAUUGAAGCGUAACUAAAAUUCAGGUGGGUUUGUUGGAAAGUGGAGACGGGGAUACACCUUAAAAAAAAUUUAAUGAGAUUUGUGACCUUUUACAGUGAAGCAAAAGGGCACCUUAGUAAGCAACAUUGAAGCGGCUACGUUGUCUGGGGUAUAAACCCUGGGGUUCCUUGUCUUGCUGAGAGAAAGAAUUUAGAACAGGGACACACGUGGGUAGGUUAAAGGAGCGGAAAGUUUAAUAGAGGAAAGGAGAGGGGAGAGCAGCUCCUUGCCAGAGAGGGACGUCUGAAAAAGGGGAAAAGGCCAUGGGCAGCACCAGAUUUUAUAAGCAGGCUAGAGGAGGUGUCUGAUUUGGUAGGGCCCACAGGUGUGACGUUUAUAUAGCUGGGGCUGGUGGUGGGGUCGGGGGGAGGGAAGACUGGCUGCCCCAUCUUAAUCUUAUUAUGCAAAUGAACUCGCCCGUUGACUGGCGCCAUCUUGUCUGCUCCUGACUCUACACGUAGCUGAUAAUGAGAAGGGAAGAUGGGGCUCCCGUUUUGAACAUGAUUGGCACAACUGCCAGCAUCUAUGUCUGCAGCUCGAUUUUAUAGGCUGCUCAUUGUUAGAAAGGAAAAUGAUUUGGAGCUACUUUUCAUUAAAAGGAAAACCUUACUGAGGACUGCUGUACCCUCACUAUCUGCUUAAGUAAUUUCUUCUUUUUUUUUUUUUUUUUGAGACGGAGUCUCCAUGUUAGAGUGCGGUAGCACGAUCUCGGCUCACUGCAACCUCUGCCUCCCGGAUUCAAGAGAUUCUCCUGCCUCAGCCUCCGGAGUAGCUGGGACUACAGGCGCGUACCAACACACCCAGCUAAUUUUUGUAUUUUUAGUAGAGAUGGUGUUCCACCACGCUGGCCAGGAUGGUCUUGAUCCUUGACCUCCUGAUCUGCCUGCCUCGGCAUCUCAAAGUGCUGGGAUUACAGGCGUGAGCCACUGCACCCGGCCAGUAAUUUCUUCUUAACUCCUGUAUCAACAUAUGAUAAAAUAGAGCAUUUUAAAAACAAGUUUUUGAAAAGAUUAAGAAUUUAUAAAAAGCUCUAAGAAGGAAACUUCAAAUACGGAUCUCAAUCACAAGCAAGGGUAAUGAGGACCCAGUGACCAUGAAGAGGCUCCAGAACUUCAUGACCUUCUGUUAUGAAAAGUUACUUAUAGUACUAUCUGUGCUCAACAGAAAAGUGCCUACUGAAGAUAAAGAAGCUGAAGCAUCAAGAAGUUAAGCCCCAAAAGUUGCUGUUAGCGAAUGGAAGAGUUAGGAUUACAAACUCAGGCAACAAAAGGGAAAAGGAAGAAGUUCCAUGCUCUCAACCACUGCAUUUCUGGCACCUCACCCUGUGCUGCCUUGGUUCCUCACUUACCCCAGCAUCUUUCAUGCUUAACUUUUCUUACCUUUCCUACAGAGCACAUCUUCUCAUUCUUGCUUAUUGGAGAAGCUUGCUUAUAAGCAGCUUCUCCAAAUCCUAUAUGCUGAAUCAUGUAGUUUUAAUUAACUCUCCCAUAGUAUCUUAGAAGUAUUAUCCAUUUAAUCUUUCCUGGGGAGGUACAUGCUGGGGAGAGUUCACCUCUACUGCUUUCUAAUAAAGUAUUUCAUAAAUUUCACAUGAUCACCUAGCAGCAACAUUUUCCAGUGAUGUUUUAUGUAUCUUUCUAAUCUUAUUCAUAAACACGUACCUAUUAAUGACAGAACUAGUCAAUUAAAAAGUAUUUCAAGAAAGGUUUG
rnacentral:lncRNA from 1 species